GGUGGUUUUUGGGUGAUGUACCCUGGAACCAGACUCCCUCCUCUCUGGUUCUGGAUGCAUCACCCAAGAACCUCA
rfam:Myotis davidii contig15419, whole genome shotgun sequence.